GGGAUACCAGUGGUCUCAGAGAGGAAUCAGAUGAUUGGUAUUUUGGUUAUGCAACAAAGAACAAGUCUGUUGUUGGAAUUUUCCCAAAAAACUAUAUACACCUAAGGGAAGCUACAAUUGUACAGUCAGGAUCAAUAGAGACAAUAAUACCAAAGGAGCCUUCAAUAGCCACAAGAGAUAACAUCUGUUGUUAGAGAAUGGUGUUUGUACUGGCAAAA